rnacentral:rRNA from 1 species
AGAGUUUGAUCCUGGCUCAGAUUGAACGCUGGCSGCGUGCUUAACACAUGCAAGUCSUACGCGAAAGGGACUUCGGUCCCGAGUAAAGUGGCGCACGGGUGAGUAACACGUGGAUAAUCUGCCUCUAUGAUGGGGUUAACAGKUGGAAACGACYGCUAAKACCGAAUACGCUCAUGAUGAACUUUGKGAGGAAAGGUGGCCUCUGCUUGCAAGCUAUCGCRUAGAGAUGAGUCCGCGUCCCAKUAGCUAGUUGGUGGGGUAACGGCCUACCARGGCAACGAUGGGUAGCCGACCUGAGAGGAUGAUCGGCCACACUGGAACUGAAACACGGUCCAGACUCSUACGGGAGGCRGCAKUGGGGAAUAUUGCGCAWUGGGCGAAAGCCUGACGCASCGACGCCSCGUGAGGGAUGAAGGUCUUCGGAUCGUAAACCUCURUCAGAAGGGAAGAAACUAGGGUGCUCUAAUCAUCGUCCUACCGACGGUACCUUCAAAGGAAGCACCGGCUAACUCCGUGCCAGCAGCCGCGGUAAUUC